rnacentral:rRNA from 1 species
ACGGAGGGUGCAAGCGUUAAUCGGAAUUACUGGGCGUAAAGCGCACGUAGGCUGUAGUGUAAGUCAGGGGUGAAAUCCCACGGCUCAACCGUGGAACUGCCUUUGAUACUGCACAACUUGAAUCCGGGAGAGGGUAGCGGAAUUCCAGGUGUAGGAGUGAAAUGCGUAGAUAUGACGAGGAACAUCAAUGGCGAAGGCAGCCACCUGGACCAGUAUUGACGCUGAGGCGCGAAAGCGUGGGUAGCAAACAG